CAGUUAUUCCUAUUUGAAUUUAAUAUUAUUAGUUGAGACUGUUACCUUUUAAGUUUUUAUAAUCUAACAAGUUACUAUCCUCCUCUUUACUCCUUGACCUGUUAAGUUUAAAUAUUUGAUUUACCCAUUAAAUUAUUAUUGCUCCUAUUUCUGCAAUAUUAUUAUAUAAAUGGAAUUUGUAUUAUUUGAGAAGGCCAGGAUCAUGCAAAUAGGAGGUACACUAGAUUGCUGCACUUGGGCCCCAAAAUUUGGAAAAAAUAAACAGAAUUUCAUCAUAAAUUAUUGCUCCUAUCUGGAGAAAAAAUUUACAGUUAAUUUAUAUUGUUAUAGCAAUACCAUUUCUUUUCCAAAUCAUGUAUAUUCAACUGUGUUUAAAUUUUUUGCACAGGAGGAGAUCCCCUCAUAUAUAAAGAUGAUGUAGAUGAGAUUGGGAAUUUCUUGCACCAAACAUAUGUACAAAAUGUAUAUUAAUGAAAUUCCUAUAGAAGUAGAUGACCCCCUUCAUGCACAACCCCAAUACAUGUUGAAACUGGAACUAUAAGACUGAUGAAAGAUUAUAUUUUUAAUCAAAGCCAAAAUGUAUAAGAUGAUUACAAGAUUUGUAACAAAUUUCAUUGGUUGAUUUAUGUUUUUAGACAAGUAGUUUAAAAAAUUUGGACAAUGCUUCUGGGACUAGAGCAUAAAAUUAUCAGAAUUUUUGUGUGCCUAUAUGAGGUAUAAAAACAGUGCAUGUAUUGUUAUAUUAAUCUGUUGGCUGCCAUUGUGAACUAUAGUUCCAUAUGAUCAAAGUCACUGCUCUGCCACUAUGAACUAAAGUUCCUUCAAGUUGGUAUGUUUUUCUUACCUCAAUAUUUUUUCAUUGUUUGUACAUUUUUCCAAUCUGAUUGCUGCCUGUUGUUGUUGUUGUUAAAACUUUUUAUUUUCUAAUUUAGAACAAAGAAACUUCCUG
rnacentral:lncRNA from 1 species